GACGAACGCUGGCGGCGUGCUUAACACAUGCAAGUCGAACGGAAAGGCCCCUUUGGGGGUACUCGAGUGGCGAACGGGUGAGUAACACGUGAGUAACCUGCCCUUGACUUCGGGAUAACUUCAGGAAACUGGGGCUAAUACCGGAUAGGAAUCCUUGCUGCAUGGUGGGGGUUGGAAAGCCUCGGCGGUUUUGGAUGGACUCGCGGCUUAUCAGCUUGUUGGUGGGGUAGUGGCUUACCAAGGCUUUGACGGGUAGCCGGCCUGAGAGGGCGACCGGCCACAUUGGGACUGAGAUACGGCCCAGACUCCUACGGGAGGCAGCAGUGGGGAAUAUUGCACAAUGGGCGGAAGCCUGAUGCAGCAACGCCGCGUGCGGGAUGACGGCCUUCGGGUUGUAAACCGCUUUCAGCAGGGGCGAAGCUUGUGGUGACGGUACCUGCAGAAGAAGCACCGGCCAACUACGUG
rnacentral:rRNA from 1 species